rnacentral:tRNA from 2 species
GGAAGCGUGGCUGAGUGGUUGAAGGCACCAGUCUUGAAAACUGGCAUGCGGGCAACCGCAUCGGAGGUUCGAAUCCUCCCGCUUCCG